GAACAGGCAGAGGCAGUUCAGGGGUAUUCUGGUUGCCUUACCCAGCUCUGAAGUCUGUCAGCCUCUUCAGAUGUCACUUGCCAUGUGGUAAGGAAGUGUAGUCAGCAGCUGGUGCAGUGGGAAGAAGAGAAAGGAAGUUCCCCAAGACAAAAACAUCUCGGCAGGUAAAGAGAAAUUCCCUAGAGCCCCUAUCAUGGGAUCAGCUAGUUGGAAGCAGGUGGCAUUCCUGGGUAGUUUCUUUCCCUUCCAGUGGCCAGGAUGGUUAAGCCUUGGUGUGCUUGUGUGUCUGAUUGCCCCAUUCAUUGGAAACCAGACCGAUGGUUUCAGGAACUCUGAGUGUGUUGUUCCCCUCUAUGUGUCCAUGUGAUCUCAUCAUUUAGCUCCCACUUAUAAGAGAACAUGGAGGUAUUUGGUUUUCUGUUCCUGUGUUAGCUUGCUAAGAAUAAUGGACUGCAGCUCCAUUCAUGUCCCUGCAAAGACAUCAUCUGGUUCUUCUUUAUAGCUGCGUUGUAUUCCAUGGUAUAUAUGUGCCACAUUUUCUUUAUACAGUCUAUUGUUGAUGGACAAUUGAGAUUGAUUCCAUGUUUUUGCUAUUGUGAAUAGUGCUGCAGUGAACAUAUGUGUUCAGGUGUCUUUAUAACAGAGUGAUUUAUAUUCCUUUGGAUAUAUACUUAGAAAUGGGAUUGUUGGGUCAAAUGGAAGUUCUGUCUUUAGGUCUUUUAGGAAUCACCACACUGUCUUCCACAGUGGUUAAACUAAUUUACACUCCCACCAACAUUGUAUAAGUGUUCCUUUUUCUCCACAAUCUUGCCAGUCUCUGUUAUUUGUUUGACCAUUUGUUAUUUCUUAUAUUUGACUUUUUAAUAUAGCCAUUCUGGCGGGUGUUAGAUUGUAUUUGAUGUUGUUUUUGAUUUGCAUUGCUCUAGUAAUGAGUGACGUUGAGAAGAUUCAAAUAAAUGCAAUCUUGGUUUUAUUUGAUAAAACCUUGUUGAUAAAAACAACAAGGGUGAUAUUACCACCGACCCCACAGAAAUAUAAACAACCAUCAGAGAAUGUAAUGAACACCUCCAUGGACAUAAACUAGAAAAUCUAGAAAGAAUGAAAAAUUCCUGCACAAAUACACCCUCCCAAGACUGAACCAGGGAGGAACUGAAUCCCUAAACAGACCAAGAAUGGCUCUGAAAUUGAGUCAGUAAUAAAUAGUCUCAGUGACAAAUUUUUAAAAUGCCACUUAGAAAAUGUACACAUAAUUUUGUUCUAUUCAGCAAAUAUAUUUGUAACAAUCAGUUUUAGGAAGGGUGUUAAAAUAUUUUAUUAUUUUUUCUCAUUUAGCUUAAUAUUUUAAAAAUAUUUUUCUGCUGGCAACUAUUUGUAUCUCCAUUUUCAUUGACAUAGUCAGUAUAUACCCACCUUCUAUUAAAUAAUAGUGGAUCAA
rnacentral:lncRNA from 10 species